ACCUGGCUGGCUCAGUCAGUGCAGCACGUGACUCUUGAUCUCGGGUUAUGAGUUCGAGCUCCAUGUUAGGUG
rnacentral:tRNA from 1 species